rnacentral:snRNA from 1 species
GGAUGUGAGGGUGAUCUGGCUGCGACAUCUGUCACUCCAUUGAUCCCAGGGUUGAUCUGGUGAUCUGGCUGGCUGGGGUGGGUGUCCCCUUCCUCCUUCACUGCUCCAUGUGUGUCCUCCUGAAGCUACAUGCUCGGUGGAAGAGGGCAACCACCCUGAUGGUGGAGGCCUGUUUCCUUGGGGACAAGGGUAUAUAAGUAGCUGUGUUCCUCUGUGCAAGAAAAUAAAAAAAAGUAGGCAUAGAUUCUGUCAUUAGCAGUUACCAACAUAGCACAACUCCAAAACUGUUAGCUUCUCCUAAAAUGACUAAAACGCUUAUAUACUGGCAAUUUUA